AAGGGUGGAUGGAGCUCUUAAUGUCUCUUGAAAUCUGCUCAACCACUUUCUUUUGACUCUUUGAAUGAAGCACUUGGAUGAAGAAGAUUAGGGCACUUGUCUUUCUUGUGUAAGCUUUGAUAUUUUGCAAAAAGAUGUUUUCUCUGAUGAAUAGUAUCCCUUUAAAUAGUUUUCCUCAUCCAUUGGACACCCCCCAUUGGUAAGAUUUCAAAAACUAGCCGUUACUUGCUGUUGAGAGGAC
rnacentral:lncRNA from 1 species